UACGAAGGGUGCAACCGUUGAUCGGAAUUAUUGGACGUAAAGCGCACGUAGGCGGCUUUGCAAUUCGGAUGUGAAAUCCCUCGGCUUAACCAAGGAAGUGCAUCCGAAACUGCAGAGCUUGAGUACUUAAGAGGAUCGCGGAAUUCCCGGUGUAGAGGUGAAAUUCGUAGAUAUCGGGAGGAACACCAGUGGCGAAGGCGGCGAUCUGGGAAGAUACUGACGCUGAGGUGCGAAAGCGUGGGGAGCAAACAGG
rnacentral:rRNA from 1 species